AGGUUUGCGCAGUGGCAGUAUCGUGCCAAUGAGGUUUAGCCCAGGCACGAUUAUUGCUAAUUGAAAACUUUUCCCAAUACCCC
ensembl:snRNA U4 U4 spliceosomal RNA